UUGUACGUUGGAAAUUUAUAUUUAUUAAAUAAAAGUUAAAAAGAAACAGUGGAUGAAAGAAUGUCUGUCUCUGUCUCUCUCUCUCUCUCUCUCUCUCUCUCUGUCUCUCUCUAUAUAUAUAUCUCACUUUCUGUAACUCUGCCUUUCUUUCAAAUAAAUGAAAUAAAUAUUUAAAACAAAAAAUUCCAGAACCAUGUUGCUGAAUCUGUGGGAGUUGAAAAAGAGCCUUUGAAGCAAACAACAAGGUUGAAUUAGACCUCUGAUUGGAGAGCUGAAGUAAUGGAUUCAAAAAUUGGUACCAGGAGUGGGAGAUUCAAGAUGACCAAGUAGAGAAAUGCAGUGUUUACCUGCUCCUCCACUAAGAUACUCCAAAGCAGCUAUGUCAAGGUGUGCAACAGAUGGGACUAGAGUUCCAGCCUAGAAUUACAUCUGGCUCUCUUACAUGGGUGGCAAGGACCCAGGAAAUCAAAUACUUGGACCAUCAUCUGCUGCCUUCCCCGGAGCAUUAGAAGGAAGUCAGAUGAGAAGAAGAGUAGCCACCACUGGAAACAGUAUUCUGAAAUGGAGUGUGGAUGCCCAAAGCACCAGCUUAACCAAUUGUGCCACAAUGGGCACCCCAGAACUUUUAUAUAUACUAGGAAAACUUAAUUGAAGCCUUACUGCUCAUAGGAGAUUUAGUGCGAGAGAGAGACAGAGAGAAAGGUCUUCCUUCUGCUGGUUCACCCCCAAAUGGCCACUAUGGCUGGCUUGCUGCGCCAAUCCGAAGCCAGGAGCCAGGUGCUUCCUCCUGGUCUCCCAUGCGGGUUCAGGGCCUAGCGCUUGGGCCAUCCUCCACUGUCUUCCCGGGCCACAGCAGAGUGCUGGACUGGAAGAGGAGCAACCGGGACAGAAUCCAGCACCUCAACUGGGACUAGAAGCCUGGGUACUGGCACCUCAGGCAGAUGAUUACCGGCCUACUUUCAUUCUUUAAGUGGAUUUGUUCCUGAGAGGAGGAGUGUGGUGGGGGCAAGAGGCGCGGAGUCACCACACAGACCCCGGAAGCUGGGUGAAAGUGGGCCAGAGGCGAGCAGCCUGCAGACUCGUUUAUGUCAGUUGGUACAACAGCUUAUAUAGCCAAGACAGCCAAUCUGGUCAAGGGGCGGUUUAUGCCCUAUCCAAUCACAGCCUGUUGCCAGGCAGGCUCUGAAGCCAUCCAAUCACAGCCUGUUGCCAGGCAGGCUCCGUUGUCAGAAUCAACAUUCCUAGGGAGAGAAUAACAAUAAUUAACAUUUUAAUUAAAUAUCUUCCUUCAAGAAAGGCAAAUUCACAUAGGAUCAUGCCAAACAGAUAAACAGAUUUCUAGGAAGCUGAAAUGUCUGCCGAGCUCCCUAUGCCAUCUACUAUGACUGAAUAGUGAGAAGCUGCACUGAUCUCAGAAAGAUAACAGAAAAACAAAAGAAGGACCAUUUUCCCGGGGACAGACUGACAGACGCUUUCAGCGGAGAAGUGACAGAACAGAACAAAGACUCUGGGGCAGAGAGGAAACAGGACAAACCCACUGACAUGGCCAGCCAAGCCACUAGCCAGCACUGCAUCCAUUCAGCUGCUGUCAUCUGGGAUAUGCCAUCUUCCCCAGACAAGGAAGAGUAAUUUUGCAAACUAUCUGGCAAUGAAAAGGCUUCCCUUCCCUUGUUUAAUGGAGUGUUAAACCCAGUCUGAGUUGGAGGUUUUGAAAAAGAUAAAUUCUCCAUGCAAAAUAAAAAAAGGGAGAUUGGCUCAAUUUUUGGUGAGGAAAAUGAUUAACUCGUUUGUUGAGUCAGUGUUUCAUCAGGCAUGUCUUGAGUAUCUGCUCUAGACAGGGAUUGCUGAAAUGAAUAAUUAUGAAGGCCUUCCUCCUAAAAAUUUAUUUUAGCAGGUCUUUUCUUUGUUCUGUAAUGCUUCCUAGCCUAAAUGCAUAUAAAUGCAUGACUUCUAGGGUAAGAUAUAAGUGUGGUGCAAAAAUGGAAUAGGAUGUUAUGAUAAGGCAAUUGUGCGCCCAGGGUUCAACUACCCCACAUUUACCUGGUAUGAUCUAUUUGUAAACAAAUAAUUUAUCAAAGCAUGUCAGGUCUAAAGACAAACCUAAAAAGAUUAUGGAAUUAAAAUUUGAGUAAUUUACUAAGAAAUAAAAAAAUAAUGUUUUUUAAAAGUCUUCUCUCCCCAGAAUGCUAAGACUUAUACACCCUUUACACUUCCAUCUCCCUCUUCACCUGCCUUCCCUCAGUUCCUUUCACUGACCUAGUCACAAACACUACCCUAACUUCUGUGAGCAGGACUAUACAUUGUUAUCAAUCUCACAAUGUAGAGAGAAUUGAACAUCACUAAAACUGUAAAAUGCUAGAAAAACAAGUGGAUUUGCCAGAGGAAGUGAUUAUAGUUGGAGUGAUCACUGAACACAGGAAAUUGGGCUCCUUAGAGGCAUUAUACCUCUCUAAUCUACCUUCUAAGGAGAACUUUUAGGAAACUCCUAUGAUUUUAUUUUGCUACAUGGAAUAUGAAAAUAUGGGGACAUAUAUCGAUUCUUGAGAGCUACAGGGUGAUUGUAUACUUCUGUGAGAUCUUAGAGACUACCCAACAAAUUUCUGAAAAUAAAGUAGUCACUACUUUGACUAGCACUUACUUGGUUGCAGGAAGUUUCCUAAGUUUUCACAUGUAUUUAUCCUUUUUACCAUUACAACUAAUCUAUAAGAUAUGGGCUGUUAUUAUACUCCCAUUUUACAGAUGAGAAAACUGAAGCCCAUGUAACUUGUCCAUGGUAGUAAAUGCAAUCACAAAACAUAAGCUUAGUAUAUCUGACUCAAGUGUCUGGGCUCCUAACUAUCCAUUAAUUUGGUCAUAAAUGUUGCCAGAUAUUUAUGAAAUGUUAACUUAAAUAGGCAGCCACCUUUGAAGCCUAUUCUAAAUAUCAAUUUUUGCUUAUUCCAUAAGUAUGAGCUGGGGUCUCCUUUUCUUGAUAUGUAUUUCUUGGAACAUUUUGGGCCAUAUUUAUUAACAUAUAUUUUUAAUUGCUAUU